UACGUAGGGUGCAAGCGUUGUCCGGAAUUAUUGGGCGUAAAGAGCUCGUAGGCGGUUUGUCGCGUCUGCUGUGAAAAUCCAGGGCUUAACCCUGGACCUGCAGUGGGUACGGGCAGACUAGAGUGCGGUAGGGGAGAUCGGAAUUCCUGGUGUAGCGGUGAAAUGCGCAGAUAUCAGGAGGAACACCGGUGGCGAAGGCGGUUCUCUGGGCCUGUACUGACGCUGAGGAACGAAAGCGUGGGGAGCGAACAGG
rnacentral:rRNA from 1 species